CACACAGGGAAAAUACACAUCAAUGUUUUCAAUAGGACCCAAUGGUCAUUUAAAUAGCUAUAACCUUAACCAUUAGUGGGGAAAAUGCAACAUCCCACUGGUCAAAGCAACAUCCCACUGGUCAAAGCAACAUCCCACUGGUCAAAGCAACAUCCCACUGGUCAAAGCAACAUCCCACUGGUCAAAGCAACAUCCCACUGGUCAAAGCAACAUCCCACUGGUCAAAACAACAUCCCACUUUGUCUCACUAGUUGAAUCAACGUUGUUUCCAUGUCAUUUCAGGAAAAAAAAGAUGACAUUGAAUCAACGUACAAAACUGAUUGAAUUUGCAAAAAGUCGUCAACUUUGAACCUAAAUCCAAUGACAUGAUGACAUUUUUGUUGAUUUCAAGUUGAGUUCACGUUAGUUGAUAACUCAACCAAAUGUAAAUCCAAACUAGACGUUGAAAUGACGUCUGUGACCAGUGGGUUUCAACACAUGACCGUUUCAACUCAUGAAACAGACAAUGAAAACAUUGAAGCAUUUUCAAGGCUCUGUUCCAUAUCCAACAGCUCAAUCAAAGAACUCCAGUCUGAACAAAGGAAGCUGGGUUUGGCCAUAAACAACAAGUAAGCAUAUUUCAAGGUGAAUCAACCAAUCACAUUCCACUACUACCCCAACGUGUCCUGUCAUGUCUCAACUUCCUCAACAUCAUGACUUGGGUUAGAACAACAUCAGGGUGUUGUGUAAUAUGUGAAUUAUCAUCUUCCUCUGCCUUCUAGUAUGAUGACUACAGGUCUCUAUCUCUCAGUCUAUCUUCUUCCUCCUCGGCCUUCUAGUAUGAUGACUACAGGUCUCUAUCUCUCAGUCUAUCUUCUUCCUCCUUGGCCUUCUAGUAUGAUGACUACAAGUCUCUAUCUCUCAGUCUAUCUUCUUCCUCCUCGGCCUUCUAGUAUGAUGACUACAGGUCUCUAUCUCUCAGUCUAUCUUCUUCCUCCUCGGCCUUCUAGUAUGAUGACUACAGGUCUCUAUCUCUCAGUCUAUCUUCUUCCUCCUCGGCCUUCUAGUAUGAUGACUACAGGUCUCUAUCUCUCAGUCUAUCUUCUUCCUCCUCGGCCUUCUAGUAUGAUGACUACAGGUCUCUAUCUCUCAGUCUAUCUUCUUCCUCCUUGGCCUUCUAGUAUGAUGACUACAGGUCUCUAUCUCUCAGUCUAUCUUCUUCCUCAUCGGCCUUCUAGUAUGAUGACUACAGGUCUGUAUCUCUCAGUCUAUCUUCUUCCUCCUCGGCCUUCUAGUAUGAUGACUACAGGUCUCUAUCUCUCAGUCUAUCUUCUUCCUCCUCUGCCUUCUAGUAUGAUGACUACAAGUCUCUAUCUCUCAGUCUAUCUUCUUCCUCCUCGGCCUUCUAGUAUGAUGACUACAGGUCUGUAUCUCUCAGUCUAUCUUCUUCCUCCUCGGCCUUCUAGUAUGAUGACUACAGGUCUCUAUCUCUCAGUCUAUCUUCUUCCUCCUCGGCCUUCUAGUAUGAUGACUACAGGUCUCUAUCUCUCAGUCUAUCUUCUUCCUCCUCGGCCUUCUAGUAUGAUGACUACAGGUCUCUAUCUCUCAGUCUAUCUUCUUCCUCAUUGGAAACAACCUGCAUCUUCAUCACAUUAGAUAUGAGAAAAUAAACAAACACAAAUACUCUGUCAUUUUUCAGUUUGUUUUGUACUCAAUAUUUCCAUUUGUCUCAUUUUUACAAACACUCAUAUGCAGCGUGCUACUCACAGAGGUCACAGAGGUUGACAAGGGCUCAUAACCACGGCAACCAGAGUAGGUCACAUGGUUUACAGGAAGCCAGCUUGUGUUUUAGAGAGUGAUGAGUCUGUCUGGGUUUUUACCAUAACCUCCUUCCUCCUUCACCAAAAACACUUGUUUAAGAGACAGAGGCUGGAGACAAUGUCUUCAUAUGAUUUGGCAUAUUACAAAACAGCUAAUCGUGAUACACGUACUACACUGUAAUAUAUGAGCUAAUGUUACAAGCAGGGGGCUUGUGUAAAUGAUGCUGACAAAAUGUGCCAAUGGGAACCGGGCCUGUAUUCACAAAGCAUCUCAGACAAGUCGUGCUGAUCUAGGAUCAGGUCCCCCAUGUCUCGUUGUGAUCUCAAAGCCUAAACUGAUUCUAGAUCAGCACUCCUAAUCUGAGACACUUUGUGAAUACGAGCCCUGAUUAAAACUGUCAGUCAGGCAGCACUGAAAAACAGGAAAUAGAUCCUUUUUGGUAUUUAUCUCACAUUCCCCAGGUUCCAUGUAGAACCCUUUCCACAGAGGGUUCUAUAUGGAACCCAUGAUCUCCCUCCCCUCCUUCUCUCUUACCACCCAU